UCUGAGAGGAUGAUCAGCCACACUGGAACUGACACACGGUCCAGACUCCUACGGGAGGCAGCAGUGAGGAAUUUUGCGCAAUGGGGGAAACCCUGACGCAGCAACGCCGCUUGAGUGAUGAAGGCCCUCGGGUCGUAAAGCUCUGUCAAGUGGGAAGAAAAUGUAAAAUGCUAAUAUCAUUUUGCACUGACGGUACCACUGAAGGAAGCACCGGCUAACUCCGUGCCAGCAGCCGCGGUAAUACGGAGGGUGCAAGCGUUAUUCGGAAUUAUUGGGCGUAAAGGGCGCGUAGGCGGCCCUUUAAGUCAGAUGUGAAAGCCCGGGGCUUAACCCCGGAAGUGCAUUUGAAACUAAAGGGCUUGAGUAUGGGAGAGGGAAGUGGAAUUCCUGGUGUAGCGGUGAAAUCGUAGAUAUCAGGAGGAACACCGGUGGCGAAGGCGACUUCCUGGACCAAUACUGACGCUAAGGCGCGAAGGCGUGGGUAGCAAACAGGAUUAGAUACCCUGGUAGUCCACGCAGUAAACGGUGAACACUAGGUGUAGCGGGUAUUGACCCCUGCUGUGCCGCAGCUAACGCAUUAAGUGUUCCGCCUGGGGAGUACGGUCGCAAGAUUAAAACUCAAAGGAAUUGACGGGGGCCCGCACAAGCGGCGGAGCAUGUGGUUUAAUUCGACGCAACGCGAAGAACCUUACCUGGAUUUGACAUCCCGGGAAGUCUUUUGAAAGAAAGAUGUGCCCUUCGGGGAACCCGGUGACAGGUGCUGCAUGGCUGUCGUCAGCUCGUGUCGUGAGAUGUUGGGUUAAGUCCCGCAACGAGCGCAACCCCUAUCUUUAGUUACCAUCAUUUAGUUGGGGACUCUAAAGAUACUGCUCCGGUUAACGGGGAGGAAGGUGGGGAUGACGUCAAGUCCUCAUGGCCUUUAUGUCCAGGGCUACACACGUGCUACAAUGGGCUGUACAAAGGGUUGCGAACCCGCGAGGGUGAGCCAAUCCCAGAAAGUAGCUCCUAGUUCGAAUUGGAGUCUGCAACUCGACUCCAUGAAGCUGGAAUCGCUAGUAAUCGUGGAUCAGCAUGCCACGGUGAAUACGUUCCCGGGCCUUGUACACACCGCCCGUCACACCAUGAGAGUUGGUUGUACCAGAAGUUGUUGGACUAACCUGUAAAGGAAGUAGGCACCUAAGGUAUGGCUGAUGAUUGGGGUGAAGUCGUAACAAGGUA
rnacentral:rRNA from 1 species